rnacentral:rRNA from 1 species
CUAAAUGACUCUCGGCAACGGAYAUCUCGGCUCUUGCAUCGAUGAAGAACGUAGCGAAAUGCGAUACUUGGUGUGAAUUGCAGAAUCCCGUGAACCAUCGAGUCUUUGAACGCAAGUUGCGCCUGAAGCCAUCAGGUUGAAGGCACGUCUGCCUGGGCGUCACGCAU